rnacentral:rRNA from 1 species
UACGAAGGGGGCUAGCGUUGUUCGGAAUUACUGGGCGUAAAGCGCACGUAGGCGGGCGAUUAAGUCAGGGGUGAAAUCUUCGAGCUUAACUCGGAAACUGCCAUUGAUACUAUAGGUCUUGAAUCAUCUGGAGGUGAGCGGAAUAUGUCAUGUAGCGGUGAAAUGCGCAGAUAUCGGGAAGAACACCCGUGGCGAAGGCGGCUCUCUGGGACGGUACUGACGCUGAGACGCGAAAGCGUGGGGAGCGAACAGG